UUAAGUUCAGCGGGUAUUCCUACCUGAUCCGAGGUCAAUAUUCAGAAAGUUGGGGGUUUUACGGCAAGAAGUCCCACUAGUCUUUAAAAACGAGGUAAAAUUACUACGCUCAAAAUUCUAGCGAGCCCGCCACUAAAUUUGGGAGGGUACCUUUUUACAGGUAUUCCUCCAACACCAAAGCCAGGCUUUGAGGGUUGAAA
rnacentral:misc_RNA from 1 species